rnacentral:rRNA from 1 species
AUAUAUGGCCUUCCCACCUGGAGAGCGCCCAAUCCCAGUUGAUCUCAGAAGCUAAGCAGGAUUGGGCCUCGUUAGAACUGAGAUGGGAAACCACUGAAAAGACCAGGUGCUAUAGCGA